rnacentral:rRNA from 1 species
CCUACGGGAGGCAGCAGUGAGGAAUAUUGGUCAAUGGACGAGAGUCUGAACCCGCCAAGUAGCGUGAAGGAUGACUGCCCUAUGGGUUGUAAACUUCUUUUAUAUGGGAAUAAAAUGUUCCACGUGUGGGAUUUUGUAUGUACCAUAUGAAUAAGGAUCGGCUAACUCCGUGCCAGCAGCCGCGGUAAUACGGAGGAUCCGAGCGUUAUCCGGAUUUAUUGGGUUUAAAGGGAGCGUAGGUGGAUUGUUAAGUCAGUUGUGAAAGUUUGCGGCGCAACCGUAAAAUUGCAUGUGAAACUGGCAGUCUUGAGUACAGUAGAGGUGGGCGGAAUUCGUGGUGUAGCGGUGAAAUGCUUAGAUAUCACGAAGAACUCCGAUUGCGAAGGCAGUUCACUGGACUGCAACUGACACUGAGGCUCGAAAGUGUGGGUAUCAAACAGGAUUAGAUACCCGGGUAGUC